rnacentral:rRNA from 1 species
GAUGAACGCUGGCGGCGUGCUUAACACAUGCAAGUCGAACGGAAAGGCUCCUGCUUGCAGGGGUACUCGAGUGGCGAACGGGUGAGUAACACGUGGGUGAUCUGCCCUGCACUUCGGGAUAAGCCUGGGAAACUGGGUCUAAUACCGGAUAGGACGAUGGUUUGGAUGCCAUUGUGGAAAGUUUUUCGGUGUGGGAUGAGCUCGCGGCCUAUCAGCUUGUUGGUGGGGUAAUGGCCUACCAAGGCGUCGACGGGUAGCCGGCCUGAGAGGGUGUACGGCCACAUUGGGACUGAGAUACGGCCCAGACUCCUACGGGAGGCAGCAGUGGGGAAUAUUGCACAAUGGGCGCAAGCCUGAUGCAGCGACGCCGCGUGGGGGAUGACGGCCUUCGGGUUGUAAACCCCUUUCGCUAGGGACGAAGCGUUUUGUGACGGUACCUGGAGAAGAAGCACCGGCUAACUACGUG